rnacentral:lncRNA from 1 species
UGAGGAGGUUUUAAUUUAGGUCUCAAUUGGGUUUGUUACAUCACAUGUAAACCUAUCUACCCCGCUCUCAUUCACAUCACAUGCAAACGGCACGUCACAGGCAGUUAUAAUCGCAGCAUCAAAAUAAAGCUAAACUUUAAAUAGGUGAUGAUCAUGGAUUCUAAUUAGGUCGUAUUACAAGCACAUGCACGUCAGUCGAUCAACUGGUCUUCAACUCUUGAAUUGGUUCCAAGCCUCCUUGAUUCGAUCCUUGAUCAACUCUUGAUCCAAUCGCCAUCAA